rnacentral:rRNA from 1 species
CCUAAAAUUUAGCCUUAAUUUUCUUAAUAAAGUCUACAUAUUAUAUCAUAUAAAAUAAAACAUUCUAUCUCUUUAGUAAAGGCGAUCGAAACGGUUCUAAGCGCUAUAGAAACAGUACCGCAAGGGAAAUAAUGAAAUAUAAGUUAAAUAACUAAAGCCACUUACAGCAGAGAAUUUACCUCGUACCUUUUGCAUCAUGGCCCAGCAAGAUAAAUUAAGCAAAACGGAAUUUAAGUUCACAUCCCCGAAACUAGGUGAGCUACUUCAAAACAGCCUCUCGAGCCAACCCAUCUCUGUAGCAAUAGGGUGGGAAGAUUUUUAAGUAGAAGUGAAAAGCCUAUCGAACCUAGAAAUAGCUGGUUAUUUAUGAAAAGAAUAUGAGUUCUGCCUUAAGGUUUUUAAUGAAUACAAACAACAAUAUAGACUUAAGAGUUAUUUAAAUAAGGUACAGCUUAUUUAAAACCGGAUACAACCAACACAAAAGGGUAAACCUUGACUAUCUAAUAAGUGGGCUGGAAAGCAGCCACCUUUCAAAAAGCGUUAAAGCUUGAUGUUUUAGUUAUAAAGAUACCACUAAUCACACUGAACCCUUAUUUCAUAAUGAAUGACUCCAUACUACUAUGGAAGACACCAUGUUGGGAUUAGUAACAAGAAAAUAUUCUCCAAAAUGCAAGCAUAAACCAAACAGGACAGACCACUGGUAAUUAUCGAACUUGAAACCACUGCAGAAACAUUUACAAGAAAACCCUACAGUAUUUAAUCGUUAACCUAACACUAGCGCAUUUCAGGAAAGAUUAAAAGAAAAAGAAGGAACUCGGCAAAUAACAACCCCGCCUGUUUACCAAAAACAUCGCCUCUUGCCUUCCUAUAAGAGGUCUAGCCUGCCCAGUGAAUUUUUAACGGCCGCGGUAUCCUAACCGCGCGAAGGUAGCAUAAUCACUUGUUCUUUAAAUGAGGACUUGUAUCAACGGCAUCACGAGGGUUUUACUGUCUCCUUUUUCUAAUCAGUGAAAUUGAUCUUCCCGUGAAGAAGCGGGAAUUUACACAUAUAAGACGAGAAGACCCCAUGGAGCUUCAAACCUAACAACAACUUAACCGUAAAAUCCCUAAUAGUUAUAAAACAAUGCUGUAAGGUUUUGGGUUGGGGUGACCACGGAGUAAAACACAACCUCCACGACGAAAAGGCCACAAUCUUUAUUUAAGAAUAACAAUUCUAGAAAUUAGUAUACUAACGCUCUCUGAUCCGACAAUCGAUCAACGGACCAAGUUACCCUGGGGAUAACAGCGCAAUCUACUUCAAGAGCCCAUAUCGACAAGUAGGCUUACGACCUCGAUGUUGGAUCAGGAUAUCCCAGUGGUGCAGCCGCUACUAAGGGUUCGUUUGUUCAACGAUUAAAAU